rnacentral:tRNA from 1 species
AGGGGUGUAGCUCAGUUAGGAAGAGCAGCGGUCUCCAAAACCGUCGGUCGCGGGUUCGAGUCCUGCCACCCCUG